AACGGUGGAUCACUUGGCUCGUACGUCGAUGAAAAACGAGGCGAGACUCGAAAGUUUAUGUGAAUUGCAGCCACGUUGAACAUAGAAAUUUUGAGCGCACAUUGCGGUGUUGAGUUGACUCGACGCCGCGUCUGUCUGAGGGUCGUUAC
rnacentral:rRNA from 1 species